rfam:Nomascus leucogenys chromosome 18, whole genome shotgun sequence.
ACUGGGUAUUGCGACACGUGCCUGUAGUCCCAGCUACUCAGGAAGCUGAGGCAGGAGGAUCAUUUGAGCCCAGGUGUUCUGGGCUAUAGUGUGCUACAUGCCCAUUGGGUGUCCACAAUAAGUUCAGUGUCAAUAUGGUAACACCAACAGGUUGCCUAAGGAGGGGUGAACCAGGCCAGGUUAGAAACAGAGCAGGCCAAAACUCCCAUGCUGACCAGUAGUGGGAUUGGGCCUGUGAACAGCACUGCAGUCCAGGCUGAGCAAUGUAGCGAGACCCUGUCUGUU